GUGAGGAAUAUUGGUCAAUGGACGAGAGUCUGAACCAGCCAAGUAGCGUGAAGGAUGACUGCCCUAUGGGUUGUAAACUUCUUUUAUAUGGGAAUAAAAUGAGUUACGUGUAGCUUUUUGUAUGUACCAUAUGAAUAAGGAUCGGCUAACUCCGUGCCAGCAGCCGCGGUAAUACGGAGGAUCCGAGCGUUAUCCGGAUUUAUUGGGUUUAAAGGGAGCGUAGGUGGAUUGUUAAGUCAGUUGUGAAAGUUUGCGGCUCAACCGUAAAAUUGCAGUUGAAACUGGCAGUCUUGAGUACAGUAGAGGUGGGCGGAAUUCGUGGUGUAGCGGUGAAAUGCUUAGAUAUCACGAAGAACUCCGAUUGCGAAGGCAGCUCACUGGACUGUAACUGACGUUGAGGCUCGAAAGCGUGGGGAGCAAACAGGA
rnacentral:rRNA from 1 species